CGGCGAAAUGCCAUAUUAGAUGCGUUAGAAAACAAAGAUGCAUUCGUGAUAUGCGAAACGAGAAAAUCGGUUCCCCAAUUUUCUUUAUGUAUACACGAGGGGUGGUGAUAACGUGUACGAAUCGAAUUGAAUUUUUGUGAUUGUGACUAGUACGUACCUGCACCCUAAUAAGAGCACAUUGGCGCAUCUGUACUUUGCAGAAUUAUUGAUCAAAGAAUUGACGGGGAUGGAGAUGUAAUAAAUGCAUGCAUGUGUAGGCGAUUACGCAUUGAGGUCACCAUAUGAAUUUCUUACCCAGUUCCGCAGAUGCGCUUGCAAGAGAAAUACUUUUACGACCAAGAUAUUGUUAAUUUUUUCAGAAAAAUAGAUCAGUAGGGACCUUAAUAUUUACAUAAAGAAAACAUUUCAACUUUUGCAUAAUUCCGGAAGUCAUCUCUAAAGCAGCAAUCUUGUACAGAAACAGAAUUUACCACAUCAAUUUUUUUAAAUUACCCACGCUUUCGUUGGAAUUCAAGUGGAAUGCUAAGCUAUCUCGUCAAUAUCUUAUUUGGAAGUCAAUAUUGUACGAAACUGAUGCCGUAAGAGCGCAAACGGGUAAUUGUUUGUAGCUUUAGGCAUUGCACACAAUAUGGGGAAGUGUAUACGAAUGGAUUGAGAAAUGUAAAGGUGGCCAGACAAGCCUAAAGCAUAAAAAGGGAGCAGGACGCCACUGAUGAGAAGAUUUUGAGUGCUUGAACACCCUUCCUUCAGCUCGGACCUCGCUCAAUAGAUUUUCAUCUCUUUGGAUCACUCAAAGAUGCCAGAUGCUAUGUAGAAAAGUGAUGCAGGUACUUGGUUAAACCUUACAUUGUGACACAGAUUUAAUGAUGUGAAUAAAAUUUAAAAAAAAGUGCGGCUAAUUUUUGACUCUCCCUCGUAUUUAUGGGUGAUGUGAAAACUUGGAAAGCAUUUACAAUCCUAAACCACGGAACUUCCGGCUCUGCGACCCAAAUCUCUCCAAUAACGAUACCGGCAGUUCAAUUUC